GGACUGCGUGUAUGUUCCCUCUUGUUAUAGAAGAUAUGAACUUAUCACCAUAAUUGCAGGUUGAUGAAACCCAGUCUCGGUUGGCAUCUGAAGGCAUUGCACGGUACGAGUGGACAAAAUAUACAUGGUUCCCUUCAGUGUCAUCCAAAAUUCCCGAGUUUUUGGUUAUUUGAAUAGUAUUCCAGCCAAUAUGUGGUACUGUAAGAGCACUAGAGUCAA
rnacentral:misc_RNA from 1 species